rnacentral:rRNA from 1 species
GACGAACGCUGGCGGCGCGCUUAACACAUGCAAGUCGAACGGAAAGGCCUGCUUUCCCUUGUGGAUUGCGGGUACUCGAGUGGCGAACGGGUGAGUAACACGUGAGUGAUCUGCCCCCAACUUGGGUAUAAGCCUGGGAAACUGGGUCUAAUUCCCGAUAGGACUGCAGGGUGGUGCCUGUGGUGGAAAACGAUUUUCUAGUGGUUGGGGAUGAGCUCGCGGCCUAUCAGCUUGUUGGUGGGGUAAUGGCCUACCAAGGCGGCGACGGGUAGCCGGCCUGAGAGGGUGGACGGCCACAUUGAGACUGAGUUACGGCCCAGACUCCUACGGGAGGCAGCAGUGGGGAAUAUUGGACAAUGAGCGGAAGCCUGAUGCAGCGACGCCGCGUGGGAGAUGACGGCCUUCGGGUUGUAAACUCCUUUCGACCGCGAGGAAGCCACCUGGUUGGAAGGGUGGUGACGGUAGUGGUAGAAGAAGCACCGGCUAACUACGUG